CCUACGGGGGGUAGCAGUGGGGAAUAUUGCACAAUGGGGGAAACCCUGAUGCAGCGACGCCGCGUGAGUGAAGAAGUAAUUCGUUAUGUAAAGCUCCAUCAGCAGGGAAGAAAAUGACGGUACCUGAGUAAGAAGCCCCGGCUAACUACGUGCCAGCAGCCGCGGUAAUACGUAGGGGGCAAGCGUUAUCCGGAUUUACUGGGUGUAAAGGGAGCGUAGACGGCAGUGCAAGUCUGGAGUGAAAGGCGGGGGCUCAACCCCCGGACUGCUCUGGAAACUGUACGGCUGGAGUGCAGGAGAGGUAAGUGGAAUUCCUGGUGUAGCGGUGGAAUGCGUAGAUAUUAGGAGGAACACCAGUUGCGAAGGCGGCUUACUGGACUGUAACUGACGUUGAGGCUCGAAAGCGUGGGGAGCAAACAGGAUUAGAUACCCUAGUAGUC
rnacentral:rRNA from 1 species